UGACCUCAAAUCAGGUAGGACUACCCGCUGAACUUAAGCAUAUCAAUAAGCGGAGGAAAAGAAACUAACAAGGAUUCCCCUAGUAACUGCGAGUGAAGCGGGAAAAGCUCAAAUUUAAAAUCUGGCAGCCUUUGGUUGUCCGAGUUGUAAUCUAGAGAAGUGUUAUCCGCGCUGGACCGUGUACAAGUCUCCUGGAAUGGAGCGUCAUAGAGGGUGAGAAUCCCGUCUUUGACACGGACUGCCAGGGCUUUGUGAUGCGCUCUCAAAGAGUCGAGUUGUUUGGGAAUGCAGCUCAAAAUGGGUGGUAAAUUCCAUCUAAAGCUAAAUAUUGGCGAGAGACCGAUAGCGAACAAGUACCGUGAGGGAAAGAUGAAAAGAACUUUGGAAAGAGAGUUAAACAGUACGUGAAAUUGCUGAAAGGGAAACGCUUGAAGUCAGUCGCGUUGUCCAGGGAUCAACCUUGCUUUUGCUUGGUGCACUUUCUGGUUGACGGGUCAGCAUCAAUUUUGACUAUUGGAAAAAGAUUAGGGGAAUGUGGCAUCUUUGGAUGUGUUAUAGCCCUUAGUUGCAUACAAUGGUUGGGAUUGAGGAACUCAGCACGCCGCAAGGCCGGGUUUUUAACCACGUACGUGCUUAGGAUG
rnacentral:rRNA from 1 species